GCUAAUAUCGCUUGUUUGUAACUGGCAUAAGAUACUCAGUGUCACUGUUGUCUUCAUCUGGUACUUUUGUAACAUGCGUAGAUACUUAUGAACCAUUUCAAAUAUGUUCCUCUCAGUGGCUGCUCAGUUUAAUACUCCAGUCUGGUUUGAGCCUGUAUCAGUCGCCAAAUCUAGAAGAGUUGCUUCAGUUGUCCAGUAUGUGAGUUCUUCAGAUCUUGUGUAUAUGCUUUUUCAUCUGGAUUUUGAAUUUCACACUUAACAAGAGGAAAAUUUACUGCAUCUUUU
rnacentral:lncRNA from 1 species